UAAGGGGAAUAAUAACCUACACCUAGAACACAUGAUGUGAAAAUAAGAAUCAGAAAUAGAAGAAGGGAUGAAAAGUAAGAGGUGGGAGAUGGCAGCAACGUGUUUCUGGAGCAGACGUGCUACGUACCUAGCAUGCCUCAUCAAAUGAGAUCUUCUCCAAAAAGGCUUUGAACCAGAGGCAGGAUGCAAAUCUAUGACCCAUGGAAAGCUACAGGAACCCACCCUUGCCUAGAGGAAAAGCCAGCACAUACCUGUGCAGUAAAAUCACCUUCACUUAAUGGGUGAGAGCCUGAUCACACUCUCUAGUUGCCAAUUCAUGAACUGUGGAAUUAUUGUGAGUGUAUUUACUGAACCCCAGGAGUUGUUGCU